AACGAACGCUGGCGGCAUGCCUAACACAUGCCAGUCGAACGAGACCUUCGGGUCUAGUGGCGCACGGGUGCGUAACGCGUGGGAACCUGCCCUUAGGUUCGGAAUAACUCCCCGAAAGGGGUGCUAAUACCGGAUAAUGUCUUCGGACCAAAGAUUUAUCGCCUUUGGAUGGGCCCGCGUUGGAUUAGCUAGUUGGUAGGGUAAAAGCCUACCAAGGCGACGAUCCAUAGCUGGUCUGUGAGGAUGAUCAGCCACACUGGGACUGAGACACGGCCCAGACUCCUACGGGAGGCAGCAGUGGGGAAUAUUGGACAAUGGGCGAAAGCCUGAUCCAGCAAUGCCGCGUGAGUGAUGAAGGCCUUAGGGUUGUAAAGCUCUUUUACCCGGGAUGAUAAUGACAGUACCGGGAGAAUAAGCUCCGGCUAACUCCGUG
rnacentral:rRNA from 1 species